rnacentral:rRNA from 1 species
UACGUAGGUGGCAAGCGUUAUCCGGAUUUAUUGGGCGUAAAGGGAACGCAGGCGGUCUUUUAAGUCUGAUGUGAAAGCCUUCGGCUUAACCGGAGUAGUGCAUUGGAAACUGGGAGACUUGAGUGCAGAAGAGGAGAGUGGAACUCCAUGUGUAGCGGUGAAAUGCGUAGAUAUAUGGAAGAACACCAGUGGCGAAAGCGGCUCUCUGGUCUGUAACUGACGCUGUGGUUCGAAAGCGUGGGUAGCAAACAGG